rnacentral:rRNA from 1 species
GGACUACUGGGGUUUCUAAUCCUGUUUGCUCCCCACGCUUUCGCGCCUCAACGUCAGUAGUGGACCAAGAAGCUGCCUUCGCCAUCGGUGUUCCUCUUGAGAUCUACGCAUUUUACCGCUACUCCAAGAAUUCCACUUCUCUCUCCCACACUCUAGCAUGCCAGUUUUCGCUGCAGAUCCUCAGUUAAGCCGAGGGAUUUAACAGCAAACUUAACACGCCGUCUACGCGCCCUUUACGCCCAAUUAUUCCGAAUAACGCUUGUACCUCUCGUAUUACCGCGGCGGCUGGCAC